rnacentral:rRNA from 1 species
AACGAACGCUGGCGGCAGGCCUAACACAUGCAAGUCGAGCGAGGACUUCGGUUCUAGCGGCGGACGGGUGAGUAACGCGUGGGAAUGUGCCCUUCUCUACGGAAUAGCACUGGGAAACUGGGAGUAAUACCGUAUACGCCCUAUUGGGGAAAGAUUUAUCGGAGAAGGAUCAGCCCGCGUUGGAUUAGGUAGUUGGUGGGGUAAUGGCCUACCAAGCCGACGAUCCAUAGCUGGUUUGAGAGGAUGAUCAGCCACACUGGGACUGAGACACGGCCCAGACUCCUACGGGAGGCAGCAGUGGGGAAUCUUAGACAAUGGGGGCAACCCUGAUCUAGCCAUGCCGCGUGAGUGAUGAAGGCCUUAGGGUUGUAAAGCUCUUUCAGCUGGGAAGAUAAUGACGGUACCAGCAGAAGAAGCCCCGGCUAACUCCGUG